rnacentral:rRNA from 1 species
GUGAACGCUGGCGGCGUGGAUGAGGCAUGCAAGUCGAAUGGGUUUAGACCCAUGGCAGACGAGGUAGUAACAUGUAGGUACGUACCGAAGAGUCGGGGAUAACCUGCCGAAAGGCAGAAUAAUACUCGAUGGUCCCGCAAGGGUAAAGAUUUAUCGCUCUUUGAACGGCCUGCACUCUAUCAGCUUGUUGGUAAGGUAACGGCUUACCAAGGCUACGACGGAUAGGGGAGCUGAGAGGCUGACCCCCACCGAUGGAACUGAGACACGGUCCUUACUCCUACGGGAGGCUGCAGUCGAGAAUCUUCCGCAAUGGACGAAAGUCUGACGGAGCGACGCCGCGUGGUGGAUGAAGUCCUUAGGGACGUAAACACCUUUUAUGAGGGAAGAAGUUUAUUGACGGUACCUCAUGAAUAAGGGGCUCCCAAUUCUGU